rnacentral:rRNA from 1 species
GGUUUGAUUAUGGCUCAGAUUGAACGCUGGCGGAUGCUUUACACAUGCAAGUCGAACGGCACGGACUUCGGUCUGGUGGCGAGUGGCGAACGGGUGAGUAAUGUAUCGGAACGUGCCUAGUAGCGGGGAUAACUACGCGAAAGCGUAGCCAAUACCGUACAUACCCUUCGGGGGAAAGCGGGGACCUUCGGGCCUCGCACUAUUAGAGCGGCCGAUAUCGGAUUAGCUAGUUGGUGGGGUAACGGCUCACCAAGGCGACGAUCCGUAGCUGGUUUGAGAGGACGACCAGCCACACUGGGACCGAGACACGGCCCAGACUCCUACGGGAGGCAGCAGUGGGGAAUUUUGGACAAUGGGGAAACCCCGAUCCAGCCAUCCCGCGUAGGUGCGAUGAAGGCCUGGGUUGUAAAGCACUUUGGCAGUUUAAAGAAACGGCACGGAUAAUACCCCGUGCAACUGGUUUGGUACCUGCAGAAUAAGCACUGUAUUAAUCACGCCAGCAGCCGCGGUAAUACGUAGGGUGCAAGCGUUAAUCGGAAUUACUGGGCGUAAAGCGUGCGCAGGCGGUUCGGAAAGAAAGAUGUGAAAUCCCAGAGCUUAACUUUGGAACUGCAUUUUUAACUACCGACAGAGUGCGUCAGGAGGGAGGUGGAAUUCCGCGUGUAGCAGUGAAAUGCGUAGAUAUGCGGAGGAACACCGAUGGCGAAGGCAGCCUUCCUGAUAACACUGACGCUCAUGCACGAGCGGGGAGCAAACAGAUUAGAUACUCCGGUAGUCCACGCCCUAAACGAUGUCAACUAGCUGUUGGGGCCUUCGGCCUUGGUAGCGCAGCUAACGCGUGAAGUUGACCGCCUGGGAGUACGGUCGCAAGAUUAAAACUCAAAGGAAUUGACGGGACCCGCACAAGCGGUGGAUGAUGUGGAUUAAUUCGAUACAACGCGAAAACCUUACCUACCCUUGACAUGUCUGGAAUCCCGAAGAGAUUUGGGAGUGCUCGCAAGGGAACCGGAACACAGGUGCUGCAUGGAUGUCGUCAGCUCGUGUCGUGAGAUGUUGGGUUAAGUCCCGCAACGAGCGCAACCUUGUCAUUAGUUGCUACGAAAGGGCACUCUAUCGAGACUGCCGGUGACAAACCGAGGAAGGUGGGGAUGACGUCAAGUCCUCAUGGCCCUUAUGGGUAGGGCUUCACACGUCAUACAAUGGUCGGGACAGAGGGUCGCCAACCCGCGAGGGGGAGCCAAUCCCAGAAACCCGAUCGUAGGUCCGGAUCGCAGUCUGCAACUCGACUGCGUGAAGUCGGAAUCGCUAGUAAUCGCGGAUCAGCAUGUCGCGGUGAAUACGUUCGGUCAAAGCACACCGCCCGUCACACCAUGGGAGUGGGUUUUACCAGAAGUAGUUAGCCUAACCGUAAGGAGGGCGAUUACCACGGUAGGAUUCAUGAUCAGGGGUGAAGUCGUAACAAGGUAG